UACAGAGGGGGCAAGCGUUGUUCGGAAUUAUUGGGCGUAAAGGGCGCGUAGGCGGUGCGGUAAGUCACUUGUGAAAUCCCCGGGCUCAACCCGGGAACUGCGUCCGAUACUGGAAGGCUUGAAUCCGGGAGAGGGAUGCGGAAUUCCAGGUGUAGCGGUGAAAUGCGCAGAUAUCAGGAGGAACACCGGUGGCGAAGGCGGAUCUCUGGGCCGUAACUGACGCUGAGGAGCGAAAGCAUGGGGAGCGAACAGG
rnacentral:rRNA from 1 species